UUGGAAGGAAAGAGAGACCAAGUGGUGGAUUUCCCCCUAAUUGGCUGUGAUACACGCAGUGGGCAGCUUCUGGUUGCAGCGCUCCAGUUCAGAAGAGAAGGAGAGAUGAGGAGAAACAUCACUGUAUGGUUGCUUCUGGUGUGUCCCCUGCUGGGAACUGGCCUGCAACCCAAGUGAAAGCCACAGACGGAACUGAUAGCUGAGUCUCUCUCAUAAAGGAUUUCAUGAAAUCAUCUUUUAA